rnacentral:rRNA from 1 species
UGCUUGCACUAAAUGAAACUAGAUACAAGCGAGCGGCGGACGGGUGAGUAACACGUGGGUAACCUGCCCAAGAGACUGGGAUAACACCUGGAAACAGAUGCUAAUACCGGAUAACAACACUAGACGCAUGUCUAGAGUUUGAAAGAUGGUUCUGCUAUCACUCUUGGAUGGACCUGCGGUGCAUUAGCUAGUUGGUAAGGUAACGGCUUACCAAGGCAAUGAUGCAUAGCCGAGUUGAGAGACUGAUCGGCCACAUUGGGACUGAGACACGGCCCAAACUCCUACGGGAGGCAGCAGUAGGGAAUCUUCCACAAUGGACGAAAGUCUGAUGGAGCAACGCCGCGUGAGUGAAGAAGGGUUUCGGCUCGUAAAGCUCUGUUGGUAGUGAAGAAAGAUAGAGGUAGUAACUGGCCUUUAUUUGACGGUAAUUACUUAGAAAGUCACGGCUAACUACGUGCCAGCAGCCGCGGUAAUACGUAGGUGGCAAGCGUUGUCCGGAUUUAUUGGGCGUAAGGCGAGUGCAGGCGGUUCAAUAAGUCUGAUGCGAAAGCCUUCGGCUCAACCGGAGAAUUGCAUCAGAAACUGUUGAACUUGAGUGCAGAAGAGGAGAGUGGAACUCCAUGUGUAGCGGUGGAAUGCGUAGAUAUAUGGAAGAACACCAGUGGCGAAGGCGGCUCUCUGGUCUGCAACUGACGCUGAGGCUCGAAAA